CGCAUUCGCCCUUCGGGGUGCAGCAGGCGCGAAACCUUAGCAAUGUGCGAAAGCACGACUGGGUCAGUCCGAGUGAUUCCUGAUAAAGGAGUCUUUUGCUUGUCCUAAAAGCACAGGUGAAUAAGGGGUGGGCAAGUCUGGUGUCAGCCGCCGCGGUAAUACCAGCACCUCGAGUGGUCAGGACGUUUAUUGGGCCUAAAGCAUCCGCAGCCGGCUCUGCAAGUCUUCGGUUAAAUCCACCUGCUCAACAGAUGGGCUGCUGGAGAUACUACAGAGCUAGGGAGUGGGAGAGGCAGACGGUAUUCAGUGGGUAGGGGUAAAAUCCUCUGAUCCAUUGAGGACCACCAGUGGCGAAGGCGGUCUGCCAGAACACGUUCGACGGUGAGGGAUGAAAGCUGGGGGAGCAAACCGGAUUAGAUACCCGGGUAGUCCCAGCUGCAAACGAUGCAAACACGGUGAUGCAUUGGCUUAUGGCCAAUGCAGUGCCGCAGGGAAGCCGUUAAGUUUGCCGCCUGGGAAGUACGGACGCAAGUCCGAAACUUAAAGGAAUUGGCGGGGGAGCAC
rnacentral:rRNA from 1 species